GACGAACGCUGGCGGCGUGCCUAAUACAUGCAAGUCGAACGCUGAAGAGAGUAGCUUGCUCUUCUUGGAUGAGUUGCGAACGGGUGAGUAACGCGUAGGUCACCUGCCUUGUAGCGGGGGAUAACUAUUUGAAACGAUAGCUCAUACCGCAUAACAAUGGAUGACACAUGUCAUUUAUUUGAAAGGGGCAUUUGCUCCUCUACACGAUGGACCUGCGUUUUAUUAGCUAGUAGGUGAGGUACCUGCUCACCUAGGCGACGAUACAUAGCCUACCUGAGCGGGUGAUCGGCCACACUGGGACUGAGACACGGCCCAGACUCCUACGGGAGGCAGCAGUAGGGAAUCUUCGGCAAUGGGGGCAACCCUGACCGAGCAACGCCGCGUGAGUGAAGAAGGUUUUCGGAUCGGAAAGCUCUGUUGUAAGUCAAGAACGAGGGUGAGAGUGGAAAGUGCACACUGUGACGGUAGCUUACCAGAAAGGGACGGCUAACUACGUG
rnacentral:rRNA from 1 species